GCCGUCCAGCCAAUAUGGUGGAUAUGACCCUCGGCUUGUAACCGAGGGGGAUCGGGUUCGAAUCCCGAAUAAGGCA
rnacentral:tRNA from 1 species